GACGAACGCUGGCGGCGUGCUUAACACAUGCAAGUCGAGCGGAAAGGCCCUUCGGGGUACUCGAGCGGCGAACGGGUGAGUAACACGUGAGUAACCUGCCCUAGGCCUUGGGAUAACCCCGGGAAACCGGGGCUAAUACCGGAUAUGACCUGGUGCCGCAUGGUGUUGGGUGGAAAGUUUUUUCGGCCUGGGAUGGGCUCGCGGCCUAUCAGCUUGCUGGUGGGGUGAUGGCCUACCAAGGCGAUGACGGGUAGCCGGCCUGAGAGGGCGACCGGCCACACUGGGACUGAGACACGGCCCAGACUCCUACGGGAGGCAGCAGUGGGGAAUAUUGCACAAUGGGCGGAAGCCUGAUGCAGCGACGCCGUGUGAGGGAUGAAGGCCUUCGGGUUGUAAACCUCUUUCAGCGGGGACGAAGCGUGAGUGACGGUACCUGCAGAAGAAGCGCCGGCCAACUACGUG
rnacentral:rRNA from 1 species